GUUGCAUCAUCAAUGCUGUAGAAGGGAAAAUUUUUUAAACUUCACAACUGAAGUUCUUUAAAAGAGCCAAGAAUUUAGACUAUUUGUACUGAAGUAUAAAACAAGGUGAAAACCCACAGCUUUGAACCCAAAUAUAUCCUAUAUUUUCCCAGAGGAAAACAAGCCUAGCAUUUUUACCUGCAGCUGUUAGUAAACCCAUAUACUAGAUAUUCAGUAGCUAUUUGUUGAUUCCUAUCAUGUUCUGACUGCUGGAUAAGUGGUAACAAAAUAACCCAGAAGACUGAAGACUUAAGUAUUUGGGGUAUAAAAAUCAAAGUUAGUAGCUGUGCAUGAGCACAGGUGCCAUGCAUCACUGAUUGCUGAUUUAGCACCACCCUGCCUUUGAUUCAGCGCUGAUAUUUAAGAGUAAUCUCAGAGGUGCUUCGAACUCUGGAAAAGCUUGGUGGGCAGCCCCCUCCUGUAUCUUGACUACCGGCAGUUUGUUUGUUGUUUCUAAAAAGUGCUCUUGCUGCUGAAGCUGCGACUCUGGAUACUGCUGUGCUGAGCUCACCUGAAGUUUAGGGGUAGAAAGCUGUUAUUUUGGCUCAAAUGAUUCUGUGAAACUGUCCUGUAUGUAUGCAAAGUAGCAAGACUGAGGAAUCAGCAACAGGCAUCCCAAAGCAAAAGC